AAAAAAAAAAAUCAAUGGCGGGGUUUGGGUUGUGACAACUACUAGGAGGAUUAAUUUCAAGGCCAGAGGUUUGUCUCUCUCUCAAUUUUAAGGAAGGUUUGAAGUUGAAAUAAGGCUUUGGGGGAUGGCAGGGCUUGAGGGCGGCUGAAAAUAGAUAGGGGAGAGGUUGGUCAAAGUUGGUUUGCGUAGGAAAGCUUUGGUUAGGGGAGGUGACUUCGUGAGCAGCAACUAAAGGGGAGGGGGAUAUGCCUUGGGAAGAGGGAAUGGGGAUUAGGCACCAAAUUGUGAAGGGACUUUAACGACAGAGGAGGGCGGGGAUGAGCUUGUGAUCAUGUUAUGGGAGAAGGCGCAGACAAAGAGGGGG
rnacentral:misc_RNA from 1 species